rnacentral:piRNA from 1 species
UAGUUCGCAGUUUCAUGCGGAGGAGGUC